GUGGAUUAGAUACCCUGGUAGUCCACGCCGUAAACGUUGGGAACUAGGUGUUGGCGACAUUCCACGUCGUCGGUGCCGCAGCUAACGCAUUAAGUUCCCCGCCUGGGGAGUACGGCCGCAAGGCUAAAACUCAAAGGAAUUGACGGGGGCCCGCACAAGCAGCGGAGCAUGUGGCUUAAUUCGACGCAACGCGAAGAACCUUACCAAGGCUUGACAUAUACCGGAAACGGCUAGAGAUAGUCGCCCCCUUGUGGUCGGUAUACAGGUGGUGCACGGCCGUCGCCAGCU
rnacentral:rRNA from 1 species